GACGAACGCUGGCGGCGUGCUUAACACAUGCAAGUCGAACGGAAAGGCCCUGCUUUUGUGGGGUGCCCGAGUGGCGAACGGGUGAGUAACACGUGAGUAACCUGCCCUUGACUUUGGGAUAACUUCAGGAAACUGGGGCUAAUACCGGAUAGGAGCUCCUGCUGCAUGGUGGGGGUUGGAAAGUUUCGGCGGUUGGGGAUGGACUCGCGGCUUAUCAGCUUGUUGGUGGGGUAGUGGCUUACCAAGGCUUUGACGGGUAGCCGGCCUGAGAGGGUGACCGGCCACAUUGGGACUGAGAUACGGCCCAGACUCCUACGGGGGGCAGCAGUGGGGAAUAUUGCACAAUGGGCGGAAGCCUGAUGCAGCAACGCCGCGUGCGGGAUGACGGCCUUCGGGUUGUAAACCGCUUUCGCCUGUGACGAAGCGUGAGUGACGGUAAUGGGUAAAGAAGCACCGGCUAACUACGUGCCAGCAGCCGCGGUGAUACGUAGGGUGCGAGCGUUGUCCGGAUUUAUUGGGCGUAAAGGGCUCGUAGGUGGUUGAUCGCGUCGGAAGUGUAAUCUUGGGGCUUAACCCUGAGCGUGCUUUCGAUACGGGUUGACUUGAGGAAGGUAGGGGAGAAUGGAAUUCCUGGUGGAGCGGUGGAAUGCGCAGAUAUCAGGAGGAACACCAGUGGCGAAGGCGGUUCUCUGGGCCUUUCCUGACGCUGAGGAGCGAAAGCGUGGGGAGCGAACAGGCUUAGAUACCCUGGUAGUCCACGCUGUAAACGGUGGGUACUAGGUGUGGGGUCCAUUCCACGGGUUCCGUGCCGUAGCUAACGCUUUAAGUACCCCGCCUGGGGAGUACGGCCGCAAGGCUAAAACUCAAAGGAAUUGACGGGGCCCCGCACAAGCGGCGGAGCAUGCGGAUUAAUUCGAUGCAACGCGUAGAACCUUACCUGGGUUUGACAUGGAUCGGGAGUGCUCAGAGAUGGGUGUGCCUCUUUUGGGGUCGGUUCACAGGUGGUGCAUGCCUGUCGUCAGCUCGUGUCGUGAGAUGUUGGGUUAAGUCCCGCAACGAGCGCAACCCUUGUUCACUGUUGCCAGCACGUUAUGGUGGGGACUCAGUGGAGACCGCCGGGGUCAACUCGGAGGAAGGUGGGGAUGACGUCAAGUCAUCAUGCCCCUUAUGUCCAGGGCUUCACGCAUGCUACAAUGGCUGGUACAGAGAGUGGCGAGCCUGUGAGGGUGAGCGAAUCUCGGAAAGCCGGUCUCAGUUCGGAUUGGGGUCUGCAACUCGACCUCAUGAAGUCGGAGUCGCUAGUAAUCGCAGAUCAGCAACGCUGCGGUGAAUACGUUCCCGGGGCC
rnacentral:rRNA from 1 species